GAUGAACGCUGGCGGCGUGCCUAAUACAUGCAAGUAGAACGCUGAAGGAGGAGCUUGCUCUUCUGGAUGAGUUGCGAACGGGUGAGUAACGCGUAGGUAACCUGCCUGGUAGCGGGGGAUAACUAUUGGAAACGAUAGCUAAUACCGCAUGACAACAGUUAUUGCAUGAUAACUGUUUAAAAGGGGCAACUGCUCCACUACCAGAUGGACCUGCGUUGUAUUAGCUAGUUGGUGAGGUAACGGCUCACCAAGGCGACGAUACAUAGCCGACCUGAGAGGGUGAUCGGCCACACUGGGACUGAGACACGGCCCAGACUCCUACGGGAGGCAGCAGUAGGGAAUCUUCGGCAAUGGACGGAAGUCUGACCGAGCAACGCCGCGGGAGUGAAGAAGGUUUUCGGAUCGUAAAGCUCUGUUGUAAGAGAAGAACGAGUGUGAGAGUGGAAAGUUCACACUGUGACGGUAUCUUACCAGAAAGGGUCGGCUAACUACGUG
rnacentral:rRNA from 1 species